CACUAUUUGUAGUGCAAUUAGAAAAAAUUAACGUAUAAUCUAACGUAACAUCUAUUAAAUCUUUAUUUGGUUCUGAUAAAACUCAUAUUUUCAAUAGAUUUCGAUAAAUGUUGAUAAAAUAAUGUCGCGUAGGGGGGCCACCCGAUCCAACUUUCAGGCAUAAAGAUAGAACUUGCCCCAUAAGAGAAAUGACAUGCGGGAACUCACUCCUUUUUUGGGGCUUUCUUACCCAAGGGAUGAAAUCACUCAAAAAAACUGCUCAAAGGGGGGAGUGGGACAGGAACCAUGCUUUCAGAGAAGUGGUGGUCCGAAUUUGAUAAGAACUGCAGGCUAGAUCGGGAGGAGUAGGUAGAGUUAGUUUCUGAAGAAGACAAGACGAAGGGAUCAUAAGGAAAGGCCAGGAUUUUCGCUUAAAAUCGAUUUCCAGGCCGAUGGUUCUAUUAUCCUGCUUGGGUCUCGCUCACGGAUCUCAAC
rnacentral:lncRNA from 1 species